rnacentral:rRNA from 1 species
AUGGGUGGCGAGUGGCGGACGGGUGAGGAAUACAUAGGAAUCUGCCUUGUAGCGGGGGAUAGUCCGGGGAAACUCGGGGUAAUACCGCAUACGACCUACGGGUGAAAGAGGGGGAUCGUAAGACCUCUCACUAUAAGAUGAGCCUAUGUCCGAUUAGCUAGUUGGUGGGGUAAAGGCCUACCAAGGCGACGAUCCGUAGCUGGUCUGAGAGGAUGAUCAGCCACACUGGAACUGAGACACGGUCCAGACUCCUACGGGAGGCAGCAGUGGGGAAUAUUGGACAAUGGGCGAAAGCCUGAUCCAGCCAUGCCGCGUGUGUGAAGAAGGCCUUCGGGUUGUAAAGCACUUUAAGCGAGGAGGAAUGGCUCUGGGUUAAUACCCUUGAGCAGUGACGUUACUCGCAGAAUAAGCACCGGCUAA